rnacentral:misc_RNA from 1 species
GAUGAAGAACGCAUCGAAAUGCGAUAAGUAAUGCGAAUUGCAGAAUUCCAGUGAGUCAUCGAAUCUUUGAACGCACAUUGCGCCCUUUGGUAUUCCGAAGGGCAUGCCUGUUCGAGCGUCAUUAUCACCCCUCAAGCCCUCGGCUUGGUGUUGGACGGUUUGGUGGAGGCCCCCUCGGGGGUUCCUGCCCCUCCCAAAGACAAUGACGGCGGCCUCGUUGGACCCCCGGUACACUGAGUUCUUCACGGGACACGUAUCGGACACAUGGGUUUACGGGACACGGUCUGCCUCCCCUCAGGGAGAAUCUUUCUAAGGUUGACCUCGGAUCAGGUAGGGAUACCCGCUGAACUUAAGCAUAUCAAUAAGCGGAGGA